GGCAGUAUGGUGUAGUGGAAAUGAGUUAACUCAUAAUCGAAAAGGUUGCCGGUUCGAUUCCCUGCUAGGGCCG